CCGAGUAGCUGGGAUUACAGGCAUGUGCCACCACACCCAGCUAAGUUUUGUAUUUUUAAUAGAGACGGGGUUUCACCAUGUUGGCCAGGAUGGUCUUGAUCUCCUGAUCUUGUGAUCCGCCUGCCUCAGCCUUCCAAAGUGCUGGGAUUACAGACGUGAGCCACCGCACCAGGCCAUUUGGGUCAUUUUUAAAUGUAUUGCCAUUAUUGUUACUUAAAGCCAGAUACACCCUAACUGAUACAUUCUAAUUGAAAUAGUUGGGCUCAAGCAGCCUGAUCGAUUCCAGAGCUCCUCUUUUUGCCUGUUCACUAUUGUCAUGAGAAGCCUAAAAUGGGCCAAUAAUUCAGCUGCUAAUUCAGUGGAGCCAUUGCUUUAUUGCCCUUGACGAUUCCUCCUUGGAUUCUAAAUCCUCUGUGUCAGUGGAGCACUGAGUUAUGAAGAACAUAAGCAAAACUUCCCACGUGGGAAGUGGGUGGAGUGUAACUCCAGCUUCCACCCUCUUGAUUCGCAGAUGAGUAUAUUCUUGCUAUGGCAGAAAUGGCACCAUAGAUAGGCCACUUGUUCAAAAAAUAAACGUCACCCUCUAGAACCACAAGUAACCUCACCUGCCUUUCUUUCUAAUAAGACACUGUAACUGGGCCUUGGAAGGGCCAUUCCAUUCCUCUGUUGCAGGCAGUGUGGUUAUGAGCAGUAGCAGUUACGAGUGCAGGCUCGAGCUGGACUGUCUGGGUUCAAGUCUCAGACCCCACGCACUGCGUGACGAGAGUCAGUCUAUAGCCAUACUUGCUUUAGUGUCCUCUUCUUAGAAAUUAAUAUAAUUAUGUAAUUAUCUCAAAAGGGUGUUUUAAGGGUUAAAUGAGUUGUCAUAGGAGAGGUUCUCAGUGGCGUACCCAGCAUGUAAAUAUGAGUUGUCACUACUGUUCCAUAAGGCCAGCAGCUUUGGGUGUUAAGAAACAAGUCCUGUACAUUCCAUGUACUGCCUUACUUUGUUCAGAAAGCAGGCUGGUGGGCUGCCUGCUGGUGACCUUGGCAUCCAUUCUUUCUACAGAUCCUGAGGGCAGAAACAUGAAGCAUGGUGGGCAGGGACAGCAACUCUGAGCCCAGAGCAUAGAUUUGUUCCAGAGAGGAUGGACUGCUGCCUUCCCACUUGCAGGAGGAGUCCAGUUGCUGAGGACUGGCUGGGUGCCUCGGGAAUAUGGUUGCAUAUUCAAACCCCAGGAUUAGUUAACACUGAGAACAAGUUGGGCACUCAGAAGUGGUGAUAGCCAGUGACAAUAGCACUUCUUCCCCAAGGACAGAAGCAAAGUCCAUGAUGAUCUCUACCUUUCCUUUUAAUGUGGCUCAGCAAAUGGGAAAUGACGACUGCUGUGUGCACUCCAGGCCUCCCAGUGUGACUUCUCAGCAUCUCUGCUUCUGCAAUUAGUUUUCGCCUCCUCAAAGGAGAGGGCCUCUCUGCCUACAGUUUGGCUCCUGUUGCCCAGGCUGGAGUGCAAUGGCGCAAUCCCGGCUCACCGCAACCUCCGCCUCCUGGAUUGAAGUGAUUCUCCUGCCUCAGCCUCCCGAGUACCUGGUAUUACAGACAUGUGCCACCACGCCUAGUAGAGACGGGGUGUCUCCAUGUUGGUCAGGCUGGUCUCAAACUCCCGCCCACCUCGGCCUCCCAAAGUGCUGGGAUUACAGGCUUGGCUAAACGAUUUGCCUUGGCCAAAGAGAUGUCAACAAGCACGAUGGGAGUUCAGUAAGUGUUUGCGCAUUGGCACACUGCUCCCACCAUGUUAAGAAGUCCAGGGAGCCAACUUGCAGAUGAAAGAGAUUCGGAGAGAAACGUCCAGAUCCUCAGCUGGCUCAUCAGAGCUCAACCCCCUGGAAAUCCCCCAGCUAAAUGCAGCACCGUGAAUGAGCUCAGGUGAAACAGCAGAAGAGCCUCCCAGGUCUUCAGGGACAGUACUACGAAUGGAACUGUCAUCUCUUAUGGUAACAAUCCCUUCUAUUUGAAUACCACCUGAAGGACUUGCCUGAAGCUGUUUUACAGGUCCUCAAACUGUCACCCAGACUGAAGUGCAGUGGCACAAUCAUGGCUCACUGCAGCCUCAGCCUCCUGGGCCCCAGCAAUCCUCCCACCUCAGCCUCCCGAAUAGCUGGAACCACAGAUUUUGCUCUGGGUGCUGAAGCAGCCUGAAGCCUGGACACAGACAGGAAGAAGCCCUAAGGAUAGCCAGAGUCUCUGGAAAGGGAGGACCCCAUUGGACUAAAUCCUUUUGACUUUAAUCAACCCUACUCCAGGCAAACACCAGCAAAGAACUGGUCCUCCUUCCACUCUCACUGGUGGCUGAGGUGGUCCCUCAGGGGGAGAGUCCUGCUGAGUCUCUCUGCCCUACACCAGGCAAAUGCCAGCAAGAGGCAGUCUUCUUCCCUUCCUCCCCAGCACAGCAGACCCUAUACAUAGGAUAACACCUCAGCUUUCUAGCCAGACAUCAGAAAGGGGAACCCUGAAGGCCAGAGACUGCAGGAUAGAGUGGGGAAUUAUGAAGAACAACGUGCUGGAGAAAAGGAUUAUUUAAAGCAGUGUAUAAAGAAGUGCUGAGCUUACUCCUGAACUGAGCAUGUGUGAAGCUGAGCAGAAUCAGCACAUAAGGACUUUCACCACUGAAUGAUGGAGUAGACCGUUGCCCAGGUUUCAGACUGGCAGCUAGGUGAUGCAGAGGCAGGAUGGACCAGCACAUCACUGUAAAUGCUUUAGAAAGUUGGCCAGGUUGUGAGUCUAAACUUGAUUUGCCUGACUGCAUUUAACACAAGUCAAUGCUUUUCAGAAGAUUUACAUAGGACUCUGGGUUUUAUCACAUUAUAUUUAAAAUGUCCUACACACAAUCCAAAAUUAUUUGACAUGUAAAGGACCACAAAAAUGUAAACAAGAGUAAAGAGAAACGGCAAUCAACAGAAGCCAGCAUGGAGCUACUUAAAUAUUGAAAUAGUCAAAUAAAGACUUUAAAGUAGGUAUUAUAAUUAUGCAUUAAUAAAUAAAGGUAAAUACUUCUUAAAUAAAUGGAAAGACAGAAGUUCUCAACAAAUAAAUAAAAGCUAUAUAAAAGAACAAAAUGGAAAUUAUAGAGUUGAAAACUUCACUGGAGAGACUCAGUAGCAAACUGGAGAUGAUCUCAAACUAUACCUCACACCAUAUAUAAAACUUGACUCAAAAUGGAUCAUAGAACUGAAUGUAAAACUAUAAAAGUCAUCAAAGAAAAUAUUUUUAAAACUUUGUGAUUUGGGGUUAAGCAAAGAGUCUUUAAAUACAAGGAAAUAAAGACAACCCAUAAAAGAGAAUAUGGCAAAAUUUGACUUUGUUGGAAUAAAAAAGCCUUUAUUACUUUACAGAAUAUGCUGUUAAUGCAAUAAAAAGGUUAUAAGCAAGGAGAAAAUAUUUAUAAUCACAUAUAAAAUGAAAGACUUGUAUCCAGAAUAUAUAAAGAACUCAAAAUUCAGUGAUUAGAAACGAACAACCUGUUUUAAAAUGGGCAAGAGAUUUUGACAGACACUUCACCAAACAAGAUAUACGGAUAGCAAAUAUAAUGCUUAAAAUUAAUAAGAUGAAUGAAAAAUGCUUAAAUAUAACCAAUUGGUAAAAUGCAAAUUAAAUGACAAUUUUAAGUGCUGGUGAGAAUGCAAUCAAAAAGAACUCUCCUGUAUUGCUGACAGGAAUGUGAAAUGGUACAGCCACUCUGGAAAAUUGCUUGAGAGUUUUUUAUAAAGUUUAAGUUACAUUUACCAGGUGACCCAGCAAUCCCACUUUCAGGUAUUUAUCAUAGAGAAGUAAAAACACGUUUACACAAAAAUCUGUGCACAAAUGUUUAUAGCAGCAUUAUUCAUAAUCGCCAAAACACAAGAAACAACCAACUUAGCAUUAAUGUGUGAAUGGAUAAAUAAACCGUGUGCCAUUUAUGCAAUGGAAUACGACUUAGCAAUAAAAACGAUGAAUCAUGAAUACAGACAAUAACAUGGGUGAAUCUCAAAUGCAUUAUACUGAGUGAAAUCUCAGUAUCUAAAGGUUACAGAUUUAUUCCAUUUAGGAAUCAUUCUGGAAAAGGCAAAAGCAGACAGAUCUGUGGUUUCCAGGACUUAGGAAUACAGAAAGGAUUUAACUUAAUAAAGGUAGCUGGAGGGAAAUCUUUGGAGAAUUCAAAUUGUUCUCUAUCCUGACUGUGAUGCUGGCUAUAGGAAUCUAUGCAUGUGGUAAAAUUUAUAGAUGUGUACAUCAAAAAAGGUGAAAUUCACUCUUUGUAAUUUUUAUAACUAAAGAAAUGUUUAGAGCAGGUGCACUGGCUCACACCUAUAAUCCCAGCACUUCAGAAAGCCAAGCCAGCCGGACCAUCUGAGGUCAGGAGUUCAAGACCAGCCUGGCCAACAUGGUGAAACCCCAUCUCUACUAAAAAUACAAAAAUUAGCUGGGCGUGGUGGUGGGUGCCUGUAAUCUCAGCUACUUGAGAGGCUGAGGCAGGAGAAUUGCUUGAACCUGGGAGGCAGAGGUUGCGGUGAGCAGAGAUCACGCCAUUGCACUCCAGCCUGGGCAACAGAGUGAGACUCUGUCUCAAGAGAAGAAAAAAAAAAAGAAAAAAGGUGUUUACAGCAUUCCUAUUCUAUAUCUACCAUAACCUCCGAAACUAAAAAUAUGAUUUAAUGUUU